UGGGGAAUUUUGGACAAUGGGGGCAACCCUGAUCCAGCAAUGCCGCGUGAGUGAAGAAGGCCUUCGGGUUGUAAAGCUCUUUUGUCAGGGAAGAAAAGGUCGUGGCUAAUAUCCACGACUGCUGACGGUACCUGAAGAAUAAGCACCGGCUAACUACGUGCCAGCAGCCGCGGUAAUACGUAGGGUGCAAGCGUUAAUCGGAAUUACUGGGCGUAAAGCGUGCGCAGGCGGUUUCGUAAGUCUGUCGUGAAAUCCCCGGGCUUAACCUGGGAAUGGCGAUGGAGACUGCGAGGCUAGAGUUUGGCAGAGGGGGGUAGAAUUCCACGUGUAGCAGUGAAAUGCGUAGAGAUGUGGAGGAACACCGAUGGCGAAGGCAGCCCCCUGGGUCAAAACUGACGCUCAUGCACGAAAGCGUGGGGAGCAAACAGG
rnacentral:rRNA from 1 species